CUGUGCUGGUGGGGGGGAAGCCCCUCCCCCGCUGUGAGAUUAAGCAGCGCGAUCGGAAUGCAGUAGCUGAUUUUAAACCAGAUCUGGAUAUACAGCGAUUUUUCUAACAGAAAGGUUUCCUGGACUUUCCCCAUAGAAUGUUUUACCCACUGCUGAUUGGCUACCUGCUCAGCGAUCACGUGAGCUGCCUCCACUGGGUCGUAGCACUGGUUGAUGACAUCACAGACCUCUUGGUUGCUCAUGAUAAAGUUUACGCCGUCGGUUGUCAGAGCCAGAAAUGCAUCAUGAGCAUGAUGUAUCUGUAAUAUAAAACCAAUAAUCCACUAUGAAUUAUUAAAUAACUACUAUGA